CCUACGGGGGGCAGCAGUAGGGAAUAUUGGACAAUGGGCGAAAGCCUGAUCCAGCCAUGCCGCGUGGUAGAUGAAGGCCCUCUGGGUUGUAAAUACCUUUUAUCUGGGAAGAAAUAUCUCGUUCUCGAGAAACUGACGGUACCAGAUGACUAAGCACCGGCUAACUCCGUGCCAGCAGCCGCGGUAAUACGGAGGGUGCACGCGUUAUCUGGAUUUACUGGGUUGGUAGGGGGCGUUAGCGGGAUUAUGAGAAAGCCCCGAGCUUAACUUGGGAAUUGCCAUUGAUACUGUUUUUCUUGAAUACGAUUGCGGUAAGCGGAAUGUUGCAUGUAGCGGUGAAAUGCUUAGAUAUGUUACAGAACACCAAUUGCGAAGGCAGCUUACUAAGUCGUCAUUGACGCUGAGGCACGAAAGCGUGGGGAGCAAACAGGAUUAGAUACCCUUGUAGUC
rnacentral:rRNA from 1 species